UCGCGAACGUAUUAACACGUAGUAAACAGAAAACAGUCAUGCGCAUCGGCAGUAUCGCGUUCGAAAUGUCAACAACGCGACAGAUGUCCGCGCCAUUUAUUCGUUAAGCAGGCGAAAGAGCCCGCGGAAUAAUACCGUGAACGUAACACGCGCGGGACUGAGACGGGCUCCUAUGUGUACAAUACCGGAGCGACGAGCUCAAAGGCGUCUACGCGCGGCAGCUGCACAGACGGUCUGGAAGGAUCAAAAGCUGCGACGUGCCUUUUUAGCGACUCGGACUGUUAAGGAAAUACCCUCUUCGCCGCGAGUGCCACGCAGCCACUCGACUCCCGAGAAACCGGUCACCAUUGGCGGAGCGCGAGCAUACACCGGACCCGGACCGUUGACGCAGUUUCUUUAAGUGCGUUUUUGUCACCGAGACCGUGGCUGCUUUCCACGGCAUGGCGCCGUUAUGUUACUAAUUACGCCGGAAAAAAUGGAAUACAGGACGUUACAAAAGCUAGGAACAAACUCGUAUUACAAAGUUGACUCCUGUUAAUAAAGUAAGGAGCUUCUCAUGCAAACAGGUAACAGGUAAUGGUAAUGGUAAUAUUGUUUAUGCAACAUCGUUAGCAGAUAAAUUGCAAUAGGGGUUAAUAAGAUUAAGGACGUAGAA